AUUGAACGCUGGCGGCAGGCCUAACACAUGCAAGUCGAACGGUAACAGGAAGAAGCUUGCUUCUUUGCUGACGAGUGGCGGACGGGUGAGUAAUGUCUGGGAAACUGCCUGAUGGAGGGGGAUAACUACUGGAAACGGUAGCUAAUACCGCAUAACGUCGCAAGACCAAAGAGGGGGACCUUCGGGCCUCUUGCCAUCGAAUGUGCCCAGAUGGGAUUAGCUAGUAGGUGGGGUAACGGCUCACCUAGGCGACGAUCCCUAGCUGGUCUGAGAGGAUGACCAGCCACACUGGAACUGAGACACGGUCCAGACUCCUACGGGAGGCAGCAGUGGGGAAUAUUGCACAAUGGGCGCAAGCCUGAUGCAGCCAUGCCGCGUGUAUGAAGAAGGCCUUCGGGUUGUAAAGUACUUUCAGCGGGGAGGAAGGGAGUAAAGUUAAUACCUUUGCUCAUUGACGUUACCCGCAGAAGAAGCACCGGCUAACUCCGUG
rnacentral:rRNA from 1 species